UAUCAUCUAUCACGACGCUCAAAUAGUCGUGGCCUGGAAGUUGUGCCAGCUGGCUUGUUUUCCCCAAUCAUGGGGUGCUGUGCUAUGGCUCCUUCCUAAUGUGUCCGGUUACAUCCAACGUGGGAUUUGAUUCUCGGGUUGGGAUGUGGCGUUGGAUAUUGUAUGAGUCGUGGCUCAAUGAUUUGAUC
rnacentral:misc_RNA from 1 species